rnacentral:rRNA from 1 species
UAGGGAAUCUUCCACAAUGGGCGAAAGCCUGAUGGAGCAACGCCGCGUGUGUGAUGAAGGCUUUCGGGUCGUAAAGCACUGUUGUAUGGGAAGAACAGCUAGAACAGGAAAUGAUUUUAGUUUGACGGUACCAUACCAGAAAGGGACGGCUAAAUACGUGCCAG